UACGUAGGGUGCAAGCGUUAAUCGGAAUUACUGGGCGUAAAGCGUGCGCAGGCGGUUAUGUAAGACAGAUGUGAAAUGCCCGGGCUUAACCUGGGAACUGCAUUUGUGACUGCAUGGCUAGAGUUUGGCAGAGGGGGGUAGAAUUCCACGUGUAGCAGUGAAAUGCGUAGAUAUGUGGAGGAACACCGAUGGCGAAGGCAGCCCCCUGGGUCAAGACUGACGCUCAUGCACGAAAGCGUGGGGAGCAAACAAGGAUUAGAGUAC
rnacentral:rRNA from 1 species